rnacentral:lncRNA from 1 species
GUGGCCACCUUUCCACCUUACUGGGAGCAGGACCUUUGUCAGCUCUUUGGUCUGGCCUUUGCUCUGACUCCUUUUGUAUGGAAGAACCAAUUGUUUUCACAUUGGCCAUGUGGACUCCUUAUCCUUUUAUUACAUAUAUUUUUUUGCAACUUGGAUUUCCAGUUUGUUUACAGAAUAGUCUUAGGUAGUAGCAAAAAGAGCCAAAGAAGAGAUUUGUAUAGCUGAGCUCUAAGCCAAGCUGAGGCCGCCAGCAAAGCUGAGCAGUGGGAACUCUCCAGGCUCCUCUGCCCGUCAGACAGCGGGCCCUAGCACCCCACCCCUUUGGUGCUCCCUCCUCCCCAUGUGCCACUGCUUGUGCAGCUAGAGCAGGAUGCCCUCAUCUUUAGGAAUCUAGUGAUGCCUCUUGCCUCAGGGAAAUGUUUCUUUGAUGGGGAGUUUAUGAGAUUUCUUUUCCUUGUUUAUGCUUUAUUUGUGGUAAUGAACGAGUGAAUGACUUUAACAGCCAUGGCCAGGGAGACCUAUGGCCCGGCUUCAGCAGAGGGUGGAGGUAGAGCAAGCUCAGUGGGAUGCAAGGGUUUCUUUGGUGGGUGCAAGGUUCUGAGACUUAACCAGGCGUGGCCGUUUCUUAGGUGUGAGAGGGGCUUUUGUGCCGCAACUAUGUUGGUGUUAGGGGGUGGUGUGGAAAUUGUUAAUCUUGUAUAAAGCAACUCAAUAAAUUGUUUUGAGGUU